rnacentral:tRNA from 1 species
GUCCAGAGUAGCCUAGCGGACAUGGCACCUGCCCGGUAAGCAGAAGGUUGUGGGUUCGAUUCCCGCCCCUGGACA